CUGAACCUGUUGCUGCAUUAGACGAGUUGCAUUUUGCUGGAUAGGGGAAGGAGGGCUGUCUGCUGUCUGGUAGGAGGGCUUUGUCUGUGCCUUUCUCUCUCUGUUUCUUUCUGUUUUUCUUUCUCUCUCUCUCUCCUCUUCUCUCUCUCUCCCACUCGCUUGCUCUGUCUCUGUCUCUCUCUCCCUCUCUGCCCCCCCUCUCCCUCCCUCUCUCUUGCUCUCUCUCUCUCUUCCCGUCUCUGUGGUUUGUAAGGUAGGUUGCAGUGUGUGUAUAUACACAACAUCAAGAGCAGGAAAAUGGACUCAUUAGGGAGGCAGGCAGUCAUUACCACUCACACUGUACUUCCAGGGAGACACCGAUUAUGAGAAGAGAAACUCAGCGCUGGGGAAGAAGGAAGAUUAGCCCAGAGCUAACAUCUGCCACCAAUCCUCCUCUUUUUGCUGAGGAAGACUGGCCCUGAGCUCACAUCUGUGCCCAUCUUCCUCUACCUUCUAUGUGAGACGCCUGCCGCAGCAUGGCUUGACAAGCGGUGCAUAGUCACACAAAAGAAGUGCUAAGAAUUGCCCUUUGAGACUCUGAAGGCUGAAGAGUCCCUGAUAAAUUGCAAGUCUGUCUGUGCCCCAUAGCUGCACAGACUGCCUGAAGUUACAUUUAGAGACUGAAAUCACUGCACCUUAAAAACAAAAGAUUGGGCUGCACUGCAUUCCUGUAAGUGAACGCUUCCUGCACCUUCCUCUGGAUUUUUUUGACCAACUCAUAAAAUGACAAAAACAUUGGUAACACGGAAACCAGACAUGAGUAAAAAUUUGAAUGUCCCUGAAGAAAUAUAUAUUUAAAUGAUUUCCUUCUUUAAAAAAAGAAAAUUUGUUGGGCUCAAUAUUCAGCAUGUCUUUUUUAUCCAACCUAAAUUGUGGAUCCUUUCUUUUGGCUGGUUUGAAUUGCUUUAGGGAGGGUGUCACCCACUGUGCCUCAGCACAGUGACAUACACCCUGUCAGGAAGGAUUCUUGCAUUUUUGUACAAGUCUCAUUGAAGGUAACAGAUUUCUUAGGGAAGCAAAGUAGAUUCCUUUUUCCUUUGUGAUGUCAUUAGAAAUUUUUAGCCUUUGUGUCAAUGGAAAUGGAGAAAAAGAAAGUUCAUGAUGACAUCACAAGAUUCUGUUGCCUUGAGGACUUUGGGCAAAACUAAGUAAAAUGCAUAAUUCCCUUGUGUGCGUGUGUUCCCCAUUCUGCUAUGAAGCAGUCAAAAUAGCACAUCUUAUGUCUUCCCGUGAGCUACAAGGCUGUCUCUCAGAGCCCCAUUGUUCCAUAAAUGCAUGUCAGAGUCUACCACAGUCUGGUCUACCCUUAUUUAGCUGCUGUUUUGUCAAUGUACUUGGAAGAACAAUUAACAUUUGGGAUUUCAAUGUCUGAAUAACAGGCAGUGAAUAGAACCCAAGCAUAUAAAAGAUUCAGACGCCCAGGGUAAGAAAACAGAAGCUUAUAGUUGGUAGGGGAAAAAAAGAAAAGCAUUUUAAUGCUGCACUCAAAGGUUGUGAAAUACUACAAGGAAAGUCAAUCUGUUUUUUUUUUUUUUAAUUUUAGAUCAAAAUGUACAUUUUGGUAAUGAAAUCCAGAAGGUUAUGAUGUCUUCCUAAGUUUUGCAGUUUAAUAUGUUGCAAGGUCUCUAGCAAGAGAGUCUUAAAACAUUUAAAUAACAUUCAUCUCCUUGAGUCAUUGUUGGAAUGCCGGAUGUGGGGAAUACUGCAUCGUGGUUUUCAGUGUCACAGUGCCUGUACAGCAAGGUACAUUGAAGGUGAUUCAGACAGUUUCCUGCAUUUUCCGGUUGGUUACUGCACUGUUUUACUAUUGACUAUAGUUCUUGAUGUUGACUGUAGACAGUCUUGAAGUUGUCUGAAUAUCUCUGCCUAUUGUCUUAAUUUCUGCUAGGUCCAUUUUUCUGGGAGAUGAUACAUGGACAGAGCAAGAUCUCCUCACUGACAGGGGAUCUGGUGAACUGGAGGGAACUUAGGCAGCUUAUGCGUGUUGCCCACUGAGCACAGUGCUUGGCUGGUAUGAGUGAAUAAUUGAUGAUUAUUGUUAUUUUUGUCAUAACUACAACAGUUCAAACCCAUAGACAGUAAGUUCUCUAAAAGCAGGGCCUAUUUCUUAUUCAUUUUUGUAAUCCCCAGUCCUUGGUGUAAUAGUAAUCAAGAAAUAGCUGUUGUUAUUAGUACAAUUACAAAAUUUCUUAAAAGUCAGAAUUUUAGGAUUCAUUUUGUCAGAAUAUUUUUGUGAAGAGGGGUUGAAUAGAGUUUUUAAUAGUCAGGAAGACAAUCAUAAAGGAAUUUGUCAAAGACAAACCUUCUGUUCAUCAUACCACAUUAGGUGUCAGUCCCCCAGUCUUUCUACUCUUUGACUUUCCACUUCUUUCUCCUGACCAAAAUGAGGAGUGCUCAUUCAUGUCAUAUCCUUUUCCUCUGUGAAAUGGUCUUCAAUAGUUUUCCAUUUAAGUCAUGGGUCUGACAUCCCAUACACUGGAGUUGUCUCCAAAGAUGAAUCUACCUGACUCCAGGAUAGAUGGUGCUCUGUACCUGUUUGUCUAAUUGCCAUGCAGUGGAUUACACUUCAGGGAAAUGGGGCAAAUGGUACAAUGGGUAUUGGGCCAAGAUGCCAGGGAUUUGGGAAAUUACCAUUAGAAACGUCUACUUUCAGUGCAUUAAAAGCCUGGCCAGUUUCUGAGCACUAAUAAGACCACAACAUUCUUUAGAACUCAGACCCAUUUGACUUCUUCUAAGUUUAGCUUCCUGGGUUUUUGUUUGUUUGUUUGCUUUUUGUUUUUUUGUCAUAAGGUUCUCUGCCCUCCCCUACCAAUUUUAAUUUAUUUCCAAAAGGAUUCCCUUCAUUUUUAUUAAAUCAGCUUCUGGUGAUGCAAAUUAAAGCUCUCAUAAAACUUGGCCUUUGAGGCAAAACUAAAAUGAUAAAAUUUGGGCUCAGUGAAUUGUACUGUUAUCAUGUUGAAUAACAUUUAAGGACAUCAAAGAACUUUAUAAACACAUUGCACAUUUUUAAGGUUAAAAAAUUGAGGUGAAAGGAAUUUAAGAGCAGAACAUCAAUAAACAUUAUAGUAGAAGGCAUGUAAGAAAUAAACGUCCAAUCAUCUCAUUUUGAAAUAAAUAAAUUGAGGCCCAGGGUAGGGCAUGCAGGUUAACCCAAACCAUACUGACCACCAACGCAGAUCAUCCUCAGACAUCUACUUGAGAGUAGACCUGAAUUUAGACUCUGGGGCUUCGACCUUUCCUCUCUACUCAGGGAACAAAUUGCCUUGCAUUCGUUUUAUGAGAUCCAUUGAACUGUCUUCCCCUCCACUGAGUAGUCCAAAAUUCAUAUAUAAGGAUAGUCUGAAAAAAUUUAUUGUUAUCAAAAAGUUUAUUUUUCAUUUUUCCUGUACAUUGAUAUCAUGCCUCUGGUUGUGCAAUGAGUCACAUAGAGGCAAAUUUAUUUGGUUGACUUAGUAUUCUUUAUGAUGAUUUACAAAGUGGACAGAAGACCAUUAGAAACUUCAAUAGUGGUUUAAUUGGGCUUACAGUCAUGAUGAAACCAGUAAUCUGAACAGAGCCAUUGUGACAUGAAAUUUAGACUUCCCAAGAGUGUGCAUCAUGCAUGGUGUCAGAAUGUCACUGUUGCCAGGGGUCAUUUCCGUCAAAGAAAAGUUUUUCAGGGUCUGAAAUAAAUGAAAUAAACUUUAAUAAUUUAAAAUGAAUUACUUGCCCUGGUAAUUUAUUUCAGGUUGCCUUUAUUGGAUUCUGUCACUUAGCAAUUCAGGUAGGAAAUUUUCUAUUUCACCCAGAGCUAAGUCUUGGCUACAUCUUAGUUUCUUCCUCAAAUUUAUUUUAUCCCCUCCAGACCUUCUCACCCCCCAGCAUGAAGAAGCUUAUGUCACUAUGCACUAAAAUUUAGUGGCCUAAGUAUUUGUGUCCCCAAUAAUGAGACGAUGUUCUGCCCUUAAAAAUUCCAUGGAAGCUUUGGCAUAUAGAGAAGAAGGGAGAAUGAAGAUGCCAGAGCAGGGCCUUAGAUGUAGACGCUCAACAAGAUUCUCUUCUCUUUCCUCUUUCCUCUACAAUAAUAAUUUAAAUUUUUUUCUAUGCUUCUUGUGAACAAAUCAUUUCACCAGGAUACAUAGGUAACACCUAUUUCCUAUCAACUAGUAGUUCAUAAUCUAUUUGGAUAAUAGAUACAUCUUUUGUUAUAGACAAAAUGUUAUAUGGGUACAGUAGAGGAAGUAAAUGUUUAUCAUUUCUUCUGAACCAUCAAGGAAUAAUAUGGAUAUUAACAAGCAGCCCAAGUAGAGGGAAUUAUAAAAAUGAAAGUUGAGGGAACAGUGAGUAGUAAUGGUGUGAUAUGAAUAUAGCAUGCUGGUUGGGGCCAGUGUUUUCCAAAGUGUGGGUUUCAACCUCUUUAUAGGUCAUGAAAUCAGUUUAGAGGAUCACAGUCAAUAUGCUUUUAAUGAAAUAGAACCAAAGGAAAAGAAUUAUAAAAAGAGUGUACUAUAUAUUUUUAAGAUAAUGAAUUGCAAAAUAAAUAUAUUUUUUACUGGGAAUCAUGCCACCAAAACACAAAAGCAGAUCUAAAGAUGAUAGGUCUUUUAAAUACUCAACUCAGAAUGACUCAUCAAAAGAGGAGAAAUAACAAGUAUUGGCAAGGGUGUGAAGAAAAAGGAACCCUGAUGCACUGUUGGGAAUGUAAAUUGGUGCAGCCACUAUGGAACACAAUUGAAGGCUCCUCAGAAAAUUAAAAAUCGAGCUACCAAUUGAUCCAGCAAUUCCACUACUGGGUAUCUAUCUGAAGAAAAUGAAAACACUAAUUCAAAAUGAUAUAUUCACCUCUAUCCUCAUUGCAGCAUUAUUUACAAUAGUCAAGAUAUGGAAACAACCUAAAUGUCCAUCCAUGGAUGAAUGGAAAAUAAGAUGUGGUAUAUAUAAAUAUACAAUGGAAUACUACUCAAUCAUAAAAAAGAAUAAAAUCUUUCCUUUUACUACAACAUUGAUAGACCUUGAGGGUGUUAUGCUAAGUGAAAUAAGUCAGAGAAAGACAAAUAUUGCAUGAUUUCACUUAUAUGUGGAAUCUAAAAAACGAAACAAAACCCAGAUUUACAGAUACGGAGAACAGAUUGGUGGUUGCCAGAGGGGAGAGAGGUUAGUGGGGAGGCAAAAAUGGGCGAAGGGGAUUAAGAAAUACAAACUUCAAGUUAUAAAAUAAAUAAGUCAGGGGAUGUAAUGUGCAGCAUGAGGAAUAUGGUCAAUAAUAUUGAGUUAACUUUGUAAGGUGAGAGACAGUAACGAGAUUUAUUGUCAUGACCAUUUCUCAAUGUAUACAAAUGUUGAAUCACUAUGUUGUACAACUGAAACUGAUAUAAUACUAUAUUACAAUUAUACCUCAAUAAACAUAAAUAAAUAAGUAAAUACUCAUCUCAUGUAAUCCUGACUAAGGGAUAAUAUUAUUUUCCCCCUUUUUAUAUGCUAGAAAGUGGAGGGAUUAAGCAGUUUGCUCCAGGUCAUACAACAGGUAAAUGGUAGAGAUAGGAUGUGAAUAUGUCUGUCAAACUCCACAUUCAUACUCUUCCCAUGAUUUGACUCUGUUUUCCAGGGUGGCAUGACUUCAAUUAUAUCCCUAUUGAUAAGUCAUACAUUUAUAUCUCUAGUCCUUAUAUCUCUCCCAAACUCUAGUUAUAUUUCCAAUGUCUUUAUUUAAAUCUUCAAUUAAAUAUAACACUAGUUUCUCCAAGUCAGUACAUCAAAAUUGGAUUUAUCCUUCUAGGUAAAAACCAUCCUCCUUUUGACCAUCCUAAUUUUCUUCACCCCAAUUCUCCAGGUCAUCUUGACUUAAAAUAUGUCAUUCUUGCUCUCCACCCCAGGUAUCCAAUAAGUGGCCAAGUCUUGUUAAUUCUUCUUUGGUACCUCUAUCCUAGUCAGGUUUUCAUCUUCUCUUGCCUGCAAUAAUCUCCUAAUUGGGAGAGAGAGGAGGAAGGGAGACCAGCUCAUCCUAAACUCUGUUGCCCGGUUAGGUCUCCUAAAGCAAGAGCCCUAAGAUCAUGUCACCUUUGUUCAGACAAAACUUUAAUAAUUCUAUAUUAAUUACCAAACAGUUCCUAACUAAUAUUCGUAACAUUCUAAAAUCUAAUUCUAACCCCAUUUCUGACUUAAUCUUAUGGUAUAAUAUACCAUACACUCGGGCCAAAUUUCUGCACCCACAUUUACUGUAUUGUUCCUGCCAUCUGGAAUGUCCAUCAUUCUGUUUUUCCGUAUGCAAAUCUAACCCGUCAUUCCAGGUCCACUUUAAAUGCUAAUAAUUCCCCAAGAAACCUUCCUCCCUGACCUGGUCAGAAAUAAUCCACUCUCUCCUACCUACCAAACUCACAGCACUUGUAGUGGCCCUGCCAACUAUUUGAUUUUGGAUUUCUAGCCUUCAAACCUGGGAGAGAAUAAAUUUCUGUUGUUUUAAGUCAACAAGUUUGUGGUAAUUUGUUACAGCAGCCUAAGAAACUAAUACAGCACUCAUCUACACUCUUUUUUGAGACAAGAAUUACUUUCUAUAUUUUUAAACAAUAUUUUUGUGCAUGCCUUAGUCUUAUACUAGAAAAUAAAUUAGAUAGAGUCCACAUUUAGUUAAAAUUUCUAAACCCUACAGAAUCUACCACAAUAGAAUCAUUAAUUCAUUAUUCAACCAUGCUUAACACUAGUAAUAUAGAAAUGAUCCUUUAGGCUCUCAUGGAACUUACAGUCUCCUAAGGGAAUCAGAUGUUAAAUAAACAAAUGAUUCUGAAUUGCACAUCGUAGUCCUUGAAAAAAGCAAACAGGUAUGCAAGACAACAAUGGGUGAGGGAAAUCUAUUAUACUGCCCUUUGGGUGCUCAAGAAAGAAUUCUCGUAAAAAAUGUCAUUUAAGUUAAGAGUUGGAGGAUGGAAGGAUGGGAAGAAUCAGCCAGGUGAUGAAUUUUGGGUGGAGAUGGAAGCAAGAGAGGGAGAGAAAACUCCAGACAGAAACAGCAAGGACAAAGCCUUGAGGCAAGGACAAACAUUGUAUAUUCAAGGAAAUAAACAGAUUCCAGAGUGGCUACAGCAAGCCAGCAAAGGAGGAGAAUGACUGGAAGUCAGGUCAGAGAAGUGGCCAGGGAAAGGAGUUUAGAUUUUGUUAUGAAUACAUUGAAAAAGCACAUAGUAGAUGCACAAAAAGUAAAUAAAUAAAUGUAUGUAUUUAUAUGUGUGUGUGUGUGUGUACAUUGAAGGACGGCUCAAAAUUAGAACAAGACAAAAUAAUUCAAAGGUAAAUAGUAUACACAAGUUCAUAGCAUCCAUACGUUCAUUUUGAAUCCUCACUGAAGGUUUACUUCUGAUUUUACUUAGGGUUUGAACUUCUGAAACUAAGGUCUAAUUGCUCACAACAUAUUUCCCAUCGGCAUAACCAAAGUAGAUUUCUGACAACCUUCUAAGAUAAGGUCAAGUUAAUUUUAUUUCCUUUCUAGUUAAUAAUUGUUAAAAUUCUGUUGUUGGUUAAUAGAUCUCCUGUUUUUAUUUAUAUUUAAGUGCUUGUUGUGUAAUGUAGGAAUGAGUAUCAAAAGUGUUUUAUUUCCAGAAUGUACUUUUACCUGUUAAACUUUAAUCUUAUUUUUAAUUUUGGUGUAUUUUACCAUGCGCAAUGACCAGGGGCCUGGAGGCAUAGAAAGCCUUGAAAAUGAAUCAUCAUUAUCCUCAUUAUUACUACCUAUAAUAUUACUGAAUUUCUGGAUUAAAAACAAUCCAAACUGUUUUAAAGUAUGAUGCAUUAAUAUCCUGAAAUGCCACUAAGUCAGGAUAGAGAUGUUAGUUUGUUUGUAAAGUGAUGGAAAUUAUCCCCUUUUACAAUAAAAGAAGAAAUAGAGUAGAGGGAAUGUGAAAAUUAAACCAUAGAGAAGUAGGUUAAGCUCUGAGGAUAUGAGGAUUUAUCUGCUGUAACUCAGUAGAAAGACACAAGAAUCAUGAAAUAUUACAGCUACAGAGAACCUAAGGAAUUAUUUAUUCUAACCUCCUCAUUUUGGAGAUGAGCAAAAUUCAGGCCUAGAAUUCCUAUCCAGGUCAUACAGUUAAAUAGUUAAUGGCAGGGCUGGAAUGGUAACCCCAAUUCUUAGGAUCUAGGUUAACACAGCCAAACCCGCUAAUCUGUGAUCUGAGCCCCUACACAAUAACUCUUUCAAGGUCUUAGGUUGAAGAAGAAAUAUUAAGUACUGGAGAUGAGUCUACAGACAAACUUUAAUUAAUAAAAAUCUGAACAAUAUAUAUUACUCACAAUCUGUUUACUUAAUCUGCCAGAUGCUUUAUAAAAGUUGUCUCUAAUCCUGCUACCAUACUCAGCAAUCACUCCACAAAGUAGGAAUCAUUUCCAUUUUAUAAGGAGAGUGCUGAGCUCCAGAAAGAUUAAAGAACAUACAAGAUUGCAAAGCCUGUAAGUGAGUUUGUACUGAUGCCGGACCUAACUGAUUCAAAGUCUGUACUAUCUCCUGCUUGGUGUUUUUAUCUAUUGCAUUUUGUUAUCAUCUUAGCUCAGGUGCUCACAGAGGCCAUUAGUUCUCUAAUAGCCCAAAUGUCUGAAAAACUUGAAAAAAGUUAGGAAGGUAAGGAAGAAAGUUACAUUUAGCAGGUGCCUGCUCUGCAUAAAGCUCUUUACAUUUAAUUCUCACAACAGAGCCUCAAGAUAGAUGUUAUAAUCCUUAGUUUACAAUUUAGGAAACUGAGGCAGAGUGAGAUUAAAUUCCCCCAUGCAUUUCAGUAAAAGCCUGAGGCAGGAUUCAAACUUAGAUCUGUCUGACCUCCAGAGUCCUUCCCAUUAUUCCACCUCCAAAUCUGCUCUUCUCCUGGAUGAGACUUAGUUUUCUAUAGUCUGCACACUUCAGUUUCUUAUCUGGCAAGGUAGAAUUAUAAUACAUGCUCUUUCAUAGACUUCCCAAGAAGAGAGAAUGUUGAGAGUGUGCUUUCAUAAUUAAGUUAAAUCAUCUUAUCUGGAAAUAAAUACCAUGCCCCCUGUAUAUUUCCUUCUUUGAGAAAUGAGGUGGGAAGAUUAGUCAAAUCCAUGACAUCAGUCUUUCAUCUCUGCACCGUCUUGACUCACUGUGUUUCUGUGCUCAGGAUCUCAGUGUAUCACAGAUAGUGGUACCACUGACCUAGACCAUACCUGAAAACACCUUUGAAAAGUGAAAGAAGUAAAAUCAUUGUAUUUAUUAGACCAAUAAGAAGGAAUAAGAUUUACAUUUUCAUUCUUAAGACUAACUUAUUUGAAUGCUUUAUAAGUCUGAUCAGAGAUAGAGGUCAAUGAAGGUGCUCAUCAUACAAAACUGAAAAUGCAAACAUAUUUAUGAAUUGUUAGCAUUGUUUUCUAAUGACCACUGAGGAAUACAUUAGCAGUGAAUGCCUUGAUAAAAGCAGAAGAUAGAGAGAGAGAGAAAGAGAAAGAGGGAGAGGUUAGAAAAACUUGUUGAUGGCAAGUCCGACUGCAAACAUGAUCCUGAGUUUCCUUCGAUGUGUCAACUUUAGCAGCACUGCAUGUAUACACUUCCAUUUCUGAGGAGGUCAUUUUCUAUUAUUGAUACACUUGAACAAUUAUUCUAAAACCAGCUGUCACUGUAGAAUAGCACCAGUACCCAUAACAAAUUUCUGGUAAUUAGAAGCAAUGCCUACCUGUUAUGGUUUUGGAGUUGGUGUUUUUUCCUCUCUACUUCUUGAAUUUGACUUCCAGGUCUUUCUGUGCGAAAGCCCUUAGCAGUCUGUUCAAGUCUUCUAAAAGAACUCAGUGAAAAACAUCUUUCCUGCUUCACAGAAGGGACUUGGUUCUUUGGUUCAGCUUGGCUGUUUGCAAUAUGUUGCUCACAGCCCUAAAUCGUAAAGUGCAUUAAUAUAUCCUUUGAAUUGCUGGAUCUCCACGGGAGGAAAAAAAAAACGUUUUCAAAAAUCGUAUAAUAUUUUGUUUAAACUUCAAUUCUGGUUCAAUGUUUUGUUCUCAAAGGAAUUUUGAAUGAAGAAAAAGCUUUUGUAAGAGGAAGGAAGCUUAUCUAAUCUCUUCAAGACUGAUGAGAAGCAAUCAGGAGACUUGUGACUCUUUGAAACAGUAAAUUUCCAGGGAAUUAGGCACACGUUUCUCAAGAACAAUAAAGAAUGUUACACUUCAGGUGGCAGCCCAUCGGCUCUAAAUGCACCUCUUCAUGUAUCCCAAAUGGCAAUUUGAAAGCCCCAUUCUUUGAGUCAACCGGAAAAGGGAGGAGGCCAUGCUGAACUGACAUCCUUUCAGGAGGUCAUGAGAAAUUGAAUACAGAAUGAAGUCAGUCUUCUGGUUAGUAUCAGAUUCUCAGAGUUAUAAACCUCUUAGGAUAAAAUGUCUUCAAAGAUGUAGGAAAAUAAGUUCGCUCAUGUGAUCCUUACCAGGUAUUAGAAGAUUUAGAUUUUUUACAAAGUCGUUUGCUUGUUUGCAACUGCACUAACUUGACCAUAUGAAAUUUUCUUGACCUUUGCUACAGUUUUACUGAACUGCUCUUUGCUUAUCUUAUUUGAAUAUGGUAGGACUUUAUUCAAUGAUCAAUAAUCAAUAUAUGUCUGACAUAGUUAUCAUUGCCAUUGUUGUUACUGUCAGAGUUUUAUUCUCUUCUCUGGAUUAGGGCUGACAGGAACAGCUGUGGGCCUGGUUACACAUUUAACGAUACAUUUGUCGCAUCCUCUUGUAGCACUGGAAAGUGGAAGCGACUAAGUAGACUGGCUGCUCAGUAAGUUAACUUAAACUCACCUCAUCUGGAGAACUUGUCAGGAAAGUUUUAUUUAUAAGCCCUUUUAGCACAUAGGGCAACAGUAUGAAUGAAAAGCUCCUGUUUUUUAAUAAAAAGACUCAUUAUCAUGCUGUAUAAGACUCUCCGAUUGAUGACAUAAUAGCAUCCACAUUAUCUUUGCAGUGACCACUAGGGCGGAAGCAAGUGUAAUUGAGAGGGAACAGCAUACAGCUGACUGUGCGCAGACUUGAUUCACGUAUUGUCAAACAGAUUUGUCCUGAGAUCAUUUUCCUUAUCAAUUAGGACACUUUUCUUAUUUUACAGACAUUCUGCAAAGAAAUCAAAUGAUAUACAUGAAGUAUUUAGAGUUCCAUGCAAUGAAGAUAGUUCAUAAAUAUCAUGUAUUAGUAUUACAGUGAAAGUAUUAGUAGAAGUGUAAAUCACUUUGAGGUCUCAGGAGUAAGCUGCUUUAUCUGAGGUUUUAGUGGUUAGAAAUUAGUUUGUUUUUUGAGUUGCUAUAUACGGAAGUACAUACUCUGUUGCUGUUAACUACUGUUUAUACACUGGAAACAAUGACUAAGAAUGAAUUGCCAGGGAUAUAUUACUUCUUUUAAAGAUUUGUUUUAAAAGCACUCUUUACUAUAAAUUCUCUGAGCAGUUUGUCUCAAAUUAAAAGAAAAAAUUAACUGUUUGAUCUCCCGUAUUAGACAGUGAAUUUCUUGAGGGAAAGAACCGUGAGUAAUUUACUAAUUUUCUGUCACUAAACCUGGUACGAAACAGCUAUUCAGUAAGUGUUUAUAGAGUAUCCUGUGUAAAAAUUUAGUAAAAUUUUAUUAAAAUUUGUUUUAAAAAAAGGAUACUGAGUUUAUUAAUUUAACUACACGUAUAGCAUGUGAUAUGGACUGAUGUUAUUGAAGAUUAUACAACCAUUAGAAAAAGAAUGAAUGGCAUCUAUCGCUAUUGACCUGGAAGGAUGAUCAGAAUUUACUAAGGGAAAAGAGCAAAUUUUCAGAGUAAUGAAUAUUCAUGAAUAAAUAUGUCGUGUAUGUUGUAUGAACAUGAAAACAGCUAUAGAAAAAUACACACCAUGUUCUUCACGAUGGUCAUCUCACAGGGUUGAGAACAAAAAGGACUCAGGAAAGAUUGCUAAUUUUUUAAAACAUUUUUUAUUGUGUCACUAGUUAUAAAGAACAUCUAUUAUGAAAGUAAGUUUGGAAAAUGAAUAUUUAAAAUUAUUUUUUAAAUUACUGUCUUUUACUUUUUGGAAAAGCAGCCCAAGAAAAAUAAUCACCAUACAGAAGUUUUAAUUUCAUUGUAUUGCCCGAACUUCCAUAACACAGAAUAAAGUACAUGCUUUAAAUAGAUGAUUCAUUUAUUCAAUAGGUAUUUCCUGAGCUCUAUGAUGGCACUAGUUCUUGUGAAAAAGUAUGAUGUGUAUAUAUGUGUGUGUAUAAAGCUGAGCCCUUUCAUGAUGCAGCUUCUUUCAUAGGAUCACAUAUGAAGAAGUUAUAGUUGAGCAAGCAAAAGUUAAAGGUAAUUUGAUUCUUUACUGUAGUCUCUCUGCAUAUAUAACCUACAAAUGCACAAGAAAACUUCUCAAGGAAUUUUUUUUUUUUGCCACCUCUCUCAUCCACAAUGUAUCUCCCCAUUAUUGCUACCCCCAGUAUUUCUCUUACCUUUUCCUCAUGCUCCUCUUCAAGAGAUCUCACUAACCCUCCUUGGCCCAGGUCAAUUAAUUUUUCUGCUCACUUCCAAACUCCUUGCUGGAUCUGUCUUAUUCUUCUCUUUCUGUUGUAAAUCUCACUAGACUUUCUGGCUUAUAUUUCUCUCACUUACUGAGAAAAAAAAAAAUCUAUGCAAGAUAAGGUUUCAGGACUAUAUUCCCAACAGAAAAUUCACAGGAGUUUAAAUAAUCAAAGGGGCAGACCCAGAAGCCUUAGUUUAAAAACAAGCAUCAAAGUUCCCCUUUAGAAUGUACUUGAAUAGACUUGAGCCAAUGAGACGGGCGGAACAUCUGAAUUGGAAUCAGGCAAGAGAGGACUGUACAGUCUGAAGUACUAUAUUUCUGACUCAGUACAUUCUAGAUCCCACCACAGGGUAGUCCUGACAAUGACCUGACCUUUAUAGAUAGAAGACAGAGGCACCCGGAGCUAAAUUUACAACACGGGAAAGAUGUGGGAUGAUGACCACAAGUAAUGAUAAAUAGAUACACUUUACUUCAUGUCAUAGGCAGUUUGAUAGAGGCUGUAAGAAAAAGGAGGGAGACAGAAGGAUGGAGGGAGGAGAAGAGAGAAGGAUGGAAGGAGGGGGAGGAGAGAAAGACAGACAGACAGACAGACCGACGAUCCCUCUCAAAUAAAAAAGCAGAAGGGGUGGAAGAGUGGAAGAAGGUGGUUGGUUAGGGGAUUAGGAAGCAGGAAGAAAAAAACAAAAUGUAUUUUGACACCCAGCCCUUUCUUUACAUCUGCACAAGUGUUCCCUGGUCCCUUAUGGGCCCUACCCUGGGUGGGCUGGGUCUGCUUGGCACUCCCAGCUGGCCAGCUGUCCUCUCCAUUUAGAGACUGCUUACUCAUAGUGAACCAUUUACAGUUGUGGGGAAGUCUCUUCAGAAUAUGCUAACAAUUAUGUUUGUUGUUCUUAACUCCAGGGGGCUGAGGAAGUCAAUAAGCAGCUGAUCACGGCAAGUUUACCCAAAGAUAUAGGUCGCCUACUCUGUCGUACAUCUUCAGCUUAGGGGAUUUAUGCAGAAAAGAACAUGAAUUCUUGUUUAUGUUAUAUGACUCCUAACCUGGGCCCCAGCAGUCUGAUGAGAACAGUAACUCUAGCUAGAAAGAUAUCUAAAAUGGAGAUGUGGGUAGAAAAACAAAUAAUGUUUAUAAAGAGAUUUUAAUGAGAUAAGAAAAUGCUUAUAUAAUGUUAAGAAAAAAAGCAAGAUGCAAAACAUGUAAAAUAUUAAAUGUUCUUUUCUAGGUGGUUAUUGUGCAUUUCUGUUCCGUUCUUUUCAUUUUCCAAAAUGUCAGGAAAGAGAAAGGAAAAGGGCUCUUGGGAUAUCCUUCCUUUUUUGUUUUUUUGUUUGUUUGUUUUUGAUCAAUGGAUUAAUUUUAAUGGUGGCAUCUCUUAUAAGAAAGAGAUUUCACCUCAAGUUUGAGUGAUAUGAUAUUCUUUGCUGAGAAUUUUUGUUCUUUGUAGACUGCUAGUAUGGUGUCAUGUUCUGGUAAUUUUUAAUGCUCAAUGCCCUUCAGCUCUGGUGGAGUGAUUGGGAGAAGAAGGUUAUGAGGUAGAUGGUUUAUUAUCUAAUUACUGAUGAUGGAUUAGUAUAGCUCAAACAGAACUUUUGUCACUUCAAGUAUGAAUAGCCAAGAGAAGCAAGGUAGGUCAAUGGAUAUAUUCAAACCAUGCGUUUGUAUAUAAGAAAAAUGUUUACUUAGAUGAUGAAUUACUUCACAUUCCACUUAUAAAGCUCAGUUAGCACAAACAUUUAAAUGGAACAAAAACUACAUUGGCUUAAGAAACUGGAUAUUUCCAAAACUCAGUAAUCUCCUGUUCCUCUAAAUGUUUACCUAUCUACCUUAUUCUCACCUUAUGACUUCUCAGAACAUUUUCAUGGCUUAUGUUCUAGUUUAGGUCCUGCAGCUCUUCAGAAUCCAGACAUAAUUGUCCUUACAACUGACGUCUCUUCUGCUUUUAACUAAAAGCCUACUUAAUUUCUCCCAGCCUGAGUGGUUCUUCCGCCAUUUACAAUUCUCAGUGUCUCUUCCCCUCAUCUCUUUGUGCUCCAGGUCCUAACUGCCUGUUACAGUUACUUUCACUUGCUUGCUCUUAGCUCCCCCUGACUCAGGAUCUCUUUCUCUAGCUCAGAGGUUCCGAAUCCUGGCUGCACAUUAGAAUCACCUUUAAAGUUUUAAAAAAAUGCCAAUGCAUUUGGCCCACCCUAAAUAUUCUCUUUUAAGCGGUCAGGGGUGGAGUUUAGCUGCAUGCUAGACUCUUACAGGAACCAAACUCUUCCUUCAUCUCAAAAUUUUUAAUUCAGUUAAGUUUAACAAGCUGCUUCACACUGGGAAACUAUUUUUCUGGAUAAAGACUACUUUCCUAGCCAGACAAGAAUAAAGCUUUAACAUUAUGCAUAAUCCAGCUCCACCUAUGUAUCAUCACACAGACAUGCAUGUGACACACACAAACACACACUAAGUUAAUGACCAAAGAUGAACAACUAUUUAAUAAACAUAGAAUUGCUAUUACCAUAGUAAUUAAUUAGAAACUAAGGAUAGCUGACCAAGUUUUAAAAGUCCUCUUUAAACUUGACUAUUGUAAAUAAGAUGUCCUGCCUUGCUAAAGGGUAUCAGAAUAUGCCUUGAGUCUGAUUUGUGGGGGGAAGAAAUGGUGGCUGACAACAAUGUCAAAAGGAUGUACAAUUGGUAGUCAAAAGGUGGAAACAAUUGAUGGGUGAAUGGAUAGACAAAAUCUAUAUACAUACAAUGGAAUAUUAUUCAGCCUUAAAAAGGAAAGAAAUUCUGACACAUGCUACAACAUGGAUGAACCUUGAAAAUAUUAUGCUAAGUGAAAUAAACUAAACACAAAAGGACAAAUAUCGUUUGAUUCCAUUUCUAUGAAGUGCCUGGAAUAGUCAAAUUCAUAGAGACAGAAAGUAGACUAGAGGUUGCCCGGGGCUUGGAGGAGGGGAGAGUGGGGAGUUAUUGGUUAAUGGGUACAGAGUUUCAGUUUGGGAAGAUUAAAAAGUUCUAGAGAUGGAUGGUGGUGAUGGUUGCAAAACAAUGUGGAUGUAUUUAAUGUCACUGACUGUACACUUAAAAAUGCUUAAAAUGGUAAAUUUUAUGUUAUGUAUAUUUUACCACAAAAAAAGGGAAUGUACAUUUGAAAACUUUCAAGGCAUUUCAGUGAAAAUGGAUUGCAGUUCCAGAGUUCAGAGGCACAACUGAACUGAGUAAUCUAUUCACAGAAUCAUUAAGGCUUGAUGAAAUGCAAUAAUUUAUUAGUUUAAGUAAUAGGCUUUACUUUGCUGUUGAGGUCCGUCAUGCUUAUGAAAUUUAAGCACUGGUAUUAUCCUUGAUCCACAAGCAGUAAUGGAUUGUAAUAAACUACAGAGAGCAAUUUUUAAAUAAACAGGAUUAUUGUUAAGUGCUUAUAGCUAUAUUAGAAUCCUUGUUUUGGUCAGCUGCUAGCAGAGGCAGAACUGCACAUUUCUCUUUCACCAAGAAUACUAUCUUUUACCAAAUUAUCUUCUUGGUAAGAGAAGCCAUGGCCUUGAAUGAGUCCAUACUUCUCAAUAAUUCAAUAUGUAAGCUAGUUGCUUCCUUUUUUUUUUUUCCUGAAAAUGUUUAACAUUUUUAUUGACAUUUAUAAAUUUCUUGGUUUAUAGUUCUAUAAAUUUUAACAUGAAUAGAUUUGUGUAACAGCCACUGUCACUCUCCAAACACAGAGUGGUUCCAUCACCCCAAAGAACUCCUUUUUGCUAUCCCUUUAUCCCUCCCCCCCCCCCCACCAACCCCUAGCAACCACUGAUCUCUUCUUUAUCACUAUAGUUUUGUCUUUUUGAGAACUGUCAUUUAAAUGGACUCAUAUAUUACAUAAUCUUUUGAGGCUGACUUCUUUCAUCCAGCAUUAUGUAUUUAAGGCUCAUCCAUGUUGUUGCACGUAUCAGUGGUUUGUUUCUUUUUAUUGCUGAAUAGUAUUCCUUUGUAUGGAUGUACCACAGGCUGUUUAUCCGUUCACCCAUUGGAAGACAUGUAGAUUUUUUUUUUCCAGUUUGAGGCAAUUAUGAAUAGAACUGCUAUAAGCAUUUGGGCACGGGAAUUUGUGUGAAUGUAAGUUUUUAUUCUCUAGGAUAAAGACCCAGGAGUCAGAUUGCUAGGUCAGAUGCUAUAUGUAUGUUUAAUUUUAUAAGAAGCUGCCAAACUGUUUUGCUGAGAAACUAUACCAUUUUGCAUGCCCAACAGAAAUGUAUAAGAGUUCCAGUUGCUCCAGAUCCUUGUCAACAUUUGCUAUUAUUAAUAUUUUUUAUUUUAGUCCUUGUAAUAGGUGUGUAGUGGAAACACUUUUUCUCUUUCAACUACAUUUUUUAAAGCUAUUUAAUAUUUAUUUAAGAAGCUACAUUUAUUUAAUAAACUAUUAUUUAAUAAACUACAUUUAUUAAAGCUGUUUUUUAAAGCUAGACAAUAAUGUGAUUCUGAGACCAUCUUUCCUGGUUCCUAUUUUUAGAUAUAUUCUAUUUCUG
ensembl:lncRNA